rnacentral:tRNA from 1 species
GGAAGGCAUUCGUAUCCGGUGGUACGGCCAGACUUCAAAUCUGGUUAGGGACGUCAACCGUUCCUGGGUUGGUUCGACUCCAGCUGCCUUCCGCCA